CGCAGGUUGCGUGUGCCCCGCGCUGGGGGGCAGGCGGAGAAAGGGCCGAAGAUAGAAGGCGAGACCCUCUCGACCCACCUGCUGACCGGCCAGCAGAGUCCCCCUCUCCUCUCCGGGCCCAGGGCCCUAACACCUUCCUCCUCUCCACCAGCCAGCUCUGCCCGCCAGCCGGCCCCCGCAUGGCCCAGGAGAUUCUGGGCAUCGUACCUGCCACCACGGGUUCUAGGGGCAGAACUCUCCCUCUGGCAGCUCUGGAAUUCAAGGCAGGCUGGUGGCAACAGCGCCAGACACAGAAGAGAGUGGGUCCUUCCAAGGACCACGCCCUGGCUGGAUGCUGGGCUUCUUCCUGGUUUCCUCACCCUGUCUGGGCCCACGGAGAGCAAGAUGCAGGGCUGGGGCAGUUAGCAGGUGGGACUGUUCAGGGUGAUCUCCUCCUUUCAUUAAAAUAUUCUCCAGAUGGGAAA